GAUGAACGCUGGCGGCGUGCCUAAUACAUGCAAGUCGAGCGAACGGACGAGAAGCUUGCUUCUCUGAUGUUAGCGGCGGACGGGUGAGUAACACGUGGAUAACCUACCUAUAAGACUGGGAUAACUUCGGGAAACCGGAGCUAAUACCGGAUAAUAUUUUGAACCGCAUGGUUCAAAAGUGAAAGACGGUCUUGCUGUCACUUAUAGAUGGAUCCGCGCUGCAUUAGCUAGUUGGUAAGGUAACGGCUUACCAAGGCAACGAUGCAUAGCCGACCUGAGAGGGUGAUCGCCCACACUGGACCUGAGACACGGUCCAGACUCCUACGGGAGGCAGCAGUAGGGAAUCUUCCGCAAUGGGCGAAAGCCUGACGGAGCAACGCCGCGUGAGUGAUGAAGGUCUUCGGAUCGUAAAACUCUGUUAUUAGGGAAGAACAUAUGUGUAAGUAACUGUGCACAUCUUGACGGUACCUAAUCAGAAAGCCACGGCUAACUACGUG
rnacentral:rRNA from 1 species